CUGACCGAGCAACGCCGGGCGUGGAGUGAAGAAGGUUUUCGGAUCGUAAAACUCUGUUGUUUAGAGAAGAACAAGGGAUGAGAGUAACUGUUCAUCCCUUGACGGUAUCUAACCAGAAAGCCACGGCUAACUACGUGCCCAGCAGCCGCGGUAAUACGUAGGUGGCAAGCGUUGUCCGGAUUUAUUGGGCGUAAAGCGAGCGCAGGCGGUUUCUUAAGUCUGAUGUGAAAGCCCCCGGCUCAACCGGGGAGGGUCAUUGGAAACUGGGAGACUUGAGUGCAGAAGAGGAGAGUGGAAUUCCAUGUGUAGCGGUGAAAUGCGUAGAUAUAUGGAGGAACACCAGUGGCGAAGGCGGCUCUCUGGUCUGUAACUGACGCUGAGGCUCGAAAGCGUGGGGAGCAAACAGGAUUAGAUACCCUGGUAGUCCACGCCGUAAACGAUGAGUGCUAAGUGUUGGAGGGUUUCCGCCCUUCAGUGCUGCAGCUAACGCAUUAAGCACUCCGCCUGGGGAGUACGACCGCAAGGUUGAAACUCAAAGGAAUUGACGGGGGCCCGCACAAGCGGUGGAGCAUGUGGUUUAAUUCGAAGCAACGCGAAGAACCUUACCAGGUCUUGACAUCCUUUGACCACUCUAGAGAUAGAGCUUCCCCUUUCGGGGGCAAAGUGACAGGUGGUGCAUGGCUUGUCGUCAGCUCGUGUCGUGAGAUGUUGGGUUAAGUCCCGCAACGAGCGCAAUCCCUUAUUGUUAGUUGCCAUCAUUCAGUUGGGCACUCUAGCAAGACUGCCGGUGACAAACCGGAGGAAGGUGGGGAUGACGUCAAAUCAUCAUGCCCCUUAUGACCUGGGCUACACACGUGCUACAAUGGGAAGUACAACGAGUUGCGAAGUCGCGAGGCUAAGCUAAUCUCUUAAAGCUUCUCUCAGUUCGGAUUGCAGGCUGCAACUCGCCUGCAUGAAGCCGGAAUCGCUAGUAAUCGCGGAUCAGCACGCCGCGGUGAAUACGUUCCCGGGCCUUGUACACACCGCCCGUCACACCACGAGAGUUUGUAACACCCGAAGUCGGUGAGGUAACCUUUUGGAGCCAGCCGCUAAGUGCAUAGGGU
rnacentral:rRNA from 1 species